rnacentral:lncRNA from 10 species
GUAGCUGGGAUUACAGGCACCCGCCACCAUGCCCGGCUAAUUUUUGUAUUUUUAGUAGAGAUGGGGUUUCACCAUGUUGGCCAGGCUGGUCUCAAACUCCUGACCUCAAGUGAUCCACCCACCUCAGCCUCCCAAAGUGCUGAGAUUACAGGCAUGAGCCACCAUGCCUGGCCUAGACCCCAUCUCUUAAAGUUUGUGGCAGGGCUGCAGUACUCAAACCAUAAAGAAGUGGCCUAUGGAAAUGAGCUUUAAGCCACAUUCCAUGAACCGAAGGGCCUCUGAGCUGGGAGUGGAUAGUGGGCACAGCCAGCCCCAGCUCUCCCUCUCAGUUGAGCCAAAGCAUCUGUGCUCAUUUGUUUUUAGAUUUCUUAAAGGAUUUCAUUUGAAAGAAAAAAGAAACAAGUCCAUGAGACCACUGUCCUGUGAACGUGAACUACUUUCUAUUUGGGUAGGUAGGAAGAAGUGAGGAUAGUUGCAAAGUUAUAAUUUCAUUCCCCUUCCCCACCCAGAAAAAUAGAACUGAGAGUCUUAAAACAUGGAAUCUGGCUGUAGCUUGGCCACAGUUACCUAUGUCUCUUUAGCAUAGCCUCCUGGAUCUCAGCUUUAUCUCUAAGAAAAUGAUAUAGAUUAGUCACAUGGUCCUUCUAAUUGCCUGAAAUCCCACUAUAAAUUUCUAGCACCUGUCACGCAAUAGGUACUUAAGAAAUGUUGGUGAUGGUGUUUGAACUGAGGCUCCACUCUGAUGAAACUGUAAAGCUCACCUUCCAGCCUGGUAGGUUGUCACCUGUGUAAUAUAAAGCUGGUUCUUUGAGGGCAAAAGGGGAUUCUACUUGAAUGUAGCUGCAGCCUUAUGUACAGCAACUACCAUAAUGCAGUUUGUAUACCGCAGGCCCCAUGUGGAGACACAUACUGGAUGGGUUCUUUCUCGUAUGUUACAUGGGAAUGCCGACAGCUGUGUUUUAAUUGUGUUUGACCUAUGUUUUCGUUGUAGGGAAGCAGAAAUGAGAAACAGUAUCUUAGCCCAAGUUCUGGAUCAGUCGGCCCGGGCCAGGUGUAAGCAUCUUUGAUUUCAUUUCCAUAAAGUUAGCUUGAGUUAGUUGAAUGGGGUGAUUAGAUACCAUUAUUGCUAUCACUAGAUGAAAUAUUUGCUUAGGCUGAAAACACUUGAGAUGUGUAAGAAGUGUGAAGUUUAUAAACCUAGAGAACUGUACUUUAAUCCCUAGUAAAAGUACCAGGUCACUUCUCUUACCAAGAUGUUCUCCAGGUGUGUAUUAGGUAAGAUUUAUAGGAAACAACUCAUAGGGCCAAUCACAAAAUGUUGCUGGUAGUUGACAUUUUGUGUCAACUGGUGAUGGGGACUGGGGAUGGGGGACUUAGGGGCUUUUUAUAUGUAUUGUCAGUUUUAGUGUAUGUUCAGAGUUGUUCAUCAUAAAAACCAAAACCUGUAGAAAGAAAAAAUGAGACAGUCAGAAUGAACUGGUAUUUUCUGUAUUUUAACUGGAAGCCCAGUUUGAGUGUAGAAAAGGCGGCCACAGGUGGAUCACCACCAUUAUGUGUAAUAGAUAAACCGCUUUCCAGAGGGCAGUCAUAUAUUUUAAGAAACAGGAAGCAUGGUGCUUAGAAUCUGAGAACCCAACUUUAAUCUUGGCUGGGCCACUACCCCCAUGUGCCCAUGUGGAGAUUGGCAUGGGUGAACUUCAGUUUUCUCAUUUUUAAGAGGAGUAACAAUACUGUCUUGCCCUACACUGAGGGACAAGCUUGUGAAGUGCUUUGGAAAGGUCAAUGCAUAGUUUUAAGGUAUAACAUAAGUGCAUUUGAUUUUAAUGGAUUUUUUGCAUAUGUAUUUUUUCUUUUUAGUAAGUAACUUAGCACUUGUAAAGCCUGAAAAAACUAAAGCAGUAGAGAAUUACCUUAUACAGAUGGCAAGAUAUGGACAACUAAGUGAGAAGGUAAGCUUAGACAGCCUUGAGGAACUUUACUGUUACCUGCUUUAUCAAAACAUGGCUUCAAAAGGUCAGCUGCAUCUUCACUGGAUUACAGAAUUCUUGCUGACUCUCAGAAGAAAUUGUUGGAGAGAAUAGUCAUACCUACUUUAAAAGAGAAUAAAUUGCCUUUCCUAAAUUCCUCUGCUUCGCUCCUUUCCUGGCGUUGCUCUGGAACCUUGUUGGUGUCUGUGACCCAAUGACUGUUAGGGUCAGCUAGCUUCAAUUGCCCCUGCACUGGAAGCAAGGUUUGUCAGUAACACCAAUUAAAAUACUACCAGUGUAAGUAGAAGGUGUGUUUUGCAGAUGAGAAGGUGCUAAGAUGCCUUGCUUAUGUUCUCUGUGUUGCUGUAAUACCAUGAGGGGUAUGUUGUGGCAAACCUGGCCUUUGAGAUCAAGACGAACCCCACCUGCCCUGAGAAGCCGUCUGCUACCACCACAGCCUACCCGAAUUGGUCCUGUCCCCUAAACCCCUCACACUGAGAACUGCUUGUGUGGGAGAGAGCUGGUUGGGUUGAUCUUUUCCGAGUGUGACUUACCUCCUUCAAGGGGAUGUUUAAGCUUCUCGGGCAGAAGUGGUGUGUCUAUUCCUGACACCAAACACCGUGGUAUAUGUGGUUGUCACACUCAGCUAGUGAUGAUAAAGGUGUUCUUAAAUAUGUUAGCUUUCAGUUUUCCUGAGGAAGCAAUUUUAUGGAUACUUCCCCCUCCUUCUCAAGUGAGGAAUAGCAGAGCAAAUUUUAUUUGGAACUUAAACCAAUAGUUAUAACCAAUAGUUUCAACCUCCUGCCUCACCACUGCUUCCUUCCUGAGCUCUUUCCCCACACCUCAAAAAGAGUACAAAGUGAUUCCAUCUGCAGAGGUAAAUUCUUUGUUUAAAAAAGUACUGUUUUUCUUAUCUUUUCUGGUUCUCCUAGGUAUCAGAACAAGGUUUAAUAGAAAUCCUUAAAAAAGUAAGCCAACAAACAGAAAAGACAACAACAGUGAAAGUAAGUGUCCCCAGAUGCUUGUGGCAAAUGAAAAGAUGGAUACUUUAAAGAUUAAUGUUGAGUAUACAUCUACCACACAUAUUUUUCAGCCCAGAGACAUUUUCCUUUUGUCAAACACGUGAAAGUUUGGGGAGAAAGGCUGAAUCUGUUGGGGGAGGGUUCUAAUUUUUAUAGGCUCUUGACUCCAUUCCCACCCUUUUAGUUCACGCUAAGUUGCUUUAAAGACACAAAUGUCUUGCUAAAAUUGGUAGAAAUCUUUUCUCGGAAAAUCUGAGUUAUGCUUUAUUAGAAAUGUUCUGACACUCAUUUAAUUUUCCUCCCAGUUCAACAGAAGAAAAGUAAUGGACUCUGAUGAAGAUGACGAUUAUUGAACUACAAGUGCUCACAGACUAGAACUUAACGGAACAAGUCUAGGACAGAAGUUAAGAUCUGAUUAUUUACUUUGUUUAUUGUCUAUAUGCCUUUUAAAAAAAUAAACUUGUUAUGCAAAAU